rnacentral:rRNA from 1 species
CGGGAGGCAGCAGUGGGGAAUUUUCCGCAAUGGGCGAAAGCCUGACGGAGCAAUCUCGCGUGAGGGAUGACUGCCUAUGGGUUGUAAACCUCUUUUUUCAGGGAGGAAUAAAUGACGUGUACCUGAAGAAUAAGCAUCGGCUAACUCCGUGCCAGCAGCCGCGGUAAUACGGAGGAUGCAAGUGUUAUCCGGAAUCACUGGGCGUAAAGCGUCUGUAGGUGGUUUAAUAAGUCAACCGUUAAAUCUUGAGGCUCAACUUCAAAAUCGCAGUCGAAACUAUUAGACUAGAGUAUAGUAGAGGUAAAGGGAAUUUCCAGUGGAGCGGUGAAAUGCGUAGAUAUUGGAAAGAACACCGAUGGCGAAAGCACUUUACUGGGCUAUUACUAACACUCAGAGACGAAAGCUAGGGUAGCAAAUGGGAUUAGAUACCCCAGUAGUCCUAGCCGUAAACAAUGGAUACUAGAUGUUGAACAGAUCGACCUGUGCAGUAUCAAAGCUAACGCGUUAAGUAUCCCGCCUGGGAAGUAUGCUCGCAAGAGUGAAACUCAAAGGAAUUG